CAGCCUCCUGAGUGCUGGGAUUAUACAUGCACCACCAUGCCUGGCUAUAUUUAACUUUUUAAAGAACUUUCAAACUCUUUUAUGAAGUGGUUGCACUGUUUUUAUUCCUACCAAUAAAUGUAUGAUGAUUCCAGUUUCUUGUCCUCACCAACAGUUUUUUAUUAUGUGUGUGUGGGAGGGGUGGAUCUGGGAUUUAACCCAACGUCUUCACCUUAAACCUUACCGCCCCCAUUAAUUUAAUUUUUAUUUGGGAAAUUAAGGCACUAAGUCGCCCAAGCAGGGUUCAAACUUGUGAUUCUCCUGGCUCAGCUUCCCAGAGUGCUGGGAUUACAGGCGUGCACCACCAUGCCUGGCUUUUGUCUAUAUUUUUGAUUGGGAUUUUCUUGUGAUGUUAAUUUGCCUAGACUUUGAUUUUUGGAUGUAUUUGAUAUAUCUAGUUUCACCCACUUAGAAAGAGAGCUUUGUGAAUAUUAUGAAGAUUAGGAACUGAAAUGAAUGAUAGAUGGUCUCUCCCUGCGGACAACACAAGUCUCUUGCCAGGAGGUGGAGAAACAGAUCGCUGUGGUGGAGGGGGUAAGGGAAUGAAGUAGCAGGGAGCUCGGGAAGUGGCUGCCCAGUGCGCAGGGGUACGCCGCCCACUCCCUUGUGGCAUUCCCGAUGACUCUACGUUGGAUUUCUUAUCCUGAAAAGCUAAAGUGAAGGCUGGAACGUGAGAAAUCCGAGAAAUCAAGAAUAUUCCGGGGUGACCUGAUUGCUGUGUGCAGUGUGGGCUGUGGCAGGGCCAGAGGGGAAGGCCGCCAGGAGGAGGGUGCGCCGCGCCGGAGACGGAUGAUGGCGGCUUGACCUCGAGAGGUUCAGCUGAAGAACCACCCUUCCCUCAGAUGCCUUCCAGGAUCUGCACAAGCUGGACGCAAUUCCUCUCUUUCCUAGGUUACAAAAGGUUGUGACUUCCGUUCUGCUAAUACUGUCACAUGCUCCCUCUGAUGAAGCCUACUGGCAUGUUGUAAGGGGCUCUGUGGGAAGGCCCACAUGGCAAGGAAUCAAAGGAGGCCUCCAGUCACCAGCUGCUGAGGUCUGAGUCCAGUACCCAGAAAGACCUGAGUCCUGAAAGCAAUCAUGUGCAUGAACUUGGAAGCAGAUCCUCCCUGAUGGUCUUCAGAUGAGACUGCGUCCCCAGCCAACAACAUGAUUGUGGCCUCAUGACAACCUCUGAAGUAGAAGAUAGCUAAGCCAUUUCUGGAUUCCUGAAAAUGUCUUAAGCUUCUGAAUUUGAAGGAUGGUGUUACGCUUGUAUGGGGACCCUAGAGGAUGUCAUAUAUCACAGAGAACCCACUACACUUCGGACCCCUAGAGAAGAAACUGAAAAUGCAUGUGUAGCAAUCUCAAUGACUAAGGUUACCCAAGCAGUUUACCAUACUAAUGUUUGGAAACUAAUGCCUACCACUUUGAGCACCUCUUGUAAUUUUACAGGCCAAAGGUAACUUGUAU